GAUGAACGCUGGCGGCGUGCCUAAUACAUGCAAGUCGAGCGAACAGACGAGGAGCUUGCUCCUCUGACGUUAGCGGCGGACGGGUGAGUAACACGUGGAUAACCUACCUAUAAGACUGGGAUAACUUCGGGAAACCGGAGCCAAUACCGGAUAAUAUAUUGAACCGCAUGGUUCAAUAGUGAAAGACGGUUUUGCUGUCACUUAUAGAUGGAUCCGCGCCGCAUUAGCUAGUUGGUAAGGUAACGGCUUACCAAGGCAACGAUGCGUAGCCGACCUGAGAGGGUGAUCGGCCACACUGGAACUGAGACACGGUCCAGACUCCUACGGGAGGCAGCAGUAGGGAAUCUUCCGCAAUGGGCGAAAGCCUGACGGAGCAACGCCGCGUGAGUGAUGAAGGUCUUCGGAUCGUAAAACUCUGUUAUUAGGGAAGAACAAAUGUGUAAGUAACUAUGCACGUUUUGACGGUACCUAAUCAGAAAGCCACGGCUAACUACGUG
rnacentral:rRNA from 1 species